CAGUCGCCGCGGUAAUACGUAGGGUGCGAGCGUUAAUCGGAAUUACUGGGCGUAAAGCGUGCGCAGGCGGUGCUGCAAGACCGAUGUGAAAGCCCCGGGCUUAACCUGGGAACUGCAUUGGUGACUGCAGCGCUGGAGUAUGGCAGAUGGGGGUGGAAUUCCACGUGUAUCAGUGAAAUGCGUAGAGAUGUGGAGGAACACCGAUGGCGAAGGCAGCCCCCUGGGCCAAUACUGACGCUCAUGCACGAAAGCGUGGGGAGCAAACAGGAUUAGAUACCCGAGUAGUCCCUGUCUCUUAUAC
rnacentral:rRNA from 1 species